UACGGGGGGGGCAAGCGUUGUUCGGAAUUACUGGGCGUAAAGGGCUCGUAGGCGGCCAACUAAGUCGGAUGUGAAAUCCCCAGGCUUAACCUGGGAACUGCAUCCGAUACUGGAUGGCUUGAAUCCGGGAGAGGGAUGCGGAAUUCCAGGUGUAGCGGUGAAAUGCGUAGAUAUCUGGAGGAACACCGGUGGCGAAGGCGGCAUCCUGGACCGGCAUUGACGCUGAGGAGCGAAAGCUAGGGGAGCAAACAGG
rnacentral:rRNA from 1 species